rnacentral:lncRNA from 1 species
CGUUGCCCAGGCAACCGCGGGACUCCUGAAGAAAUGGUGGAUGCUCCAAACAGUGACCAGCACUCACCUUAGGCCAUGACCUCUACCGGCUAAAAAGCCUAAACUCAGCGUGGAUCAGGGCUAUGCCAGCCUAAGGCCCAGUAUCGUUUCACUUCACCUGAAACCCUCAAAUAUUUGUUGUCCUAUCAUAUGCCAACUACUAUGGAUUAUGUAAGGGAUGCAAAAAUGAAUGUUAUUUGGACCUCCUCCUUACCAAAGAUAAGAAGAGCAGGAACAACUGAUUUAUUCUCUAGAGGAUUUGAACUGAAGGAGGCUUGAACUUGAACAAUCAGUACCAACUUCCCUUUACACUCUGAUCUCAGAAAUCUGACAGUCAGCUGUGUUUCCCCAGGCCCUCUAACUUCACCUGUAAGUGUAUUUUCAUUGGGAGGAAUUUAGCAAAAAGUGAUGCUAAAAAUUAUUGGAGCAAUGUCUUCAAAAUCAUAAGAUUAUACACCCAACCAAACUGUUAAUCAAGUAACAUAAAGGUAGAAUAAAGAUUUUUCCCUGGCUGGGCUUGGUGGCUCACGCUAUUAUCCCAGAACUUUGGGACACAAAGGCUGAAGAAUUGCUUGGACCCAGGAACAUAGGAAGAUUCUGGGCAACAUAGGAAGAUUCUGUCUCCACAAAAAAAUAAAAAAAAAAUUAGCUGAGUGUGGUGGUACAUGCCUGUGGUCCCAGCUACUCAUGAGGCUGAGGCAGGAGAAUCGCUUUAACCUGAAAAGUCAAAGUUGCAGUGAGCCAUGAUGGCACCACUGCACUCCAGCCUGGGUGACAGAGCAAGACCUUGUCUAAAAAAAAAAAGUUUUUAUCAGAUAUGCAAGUACUCAAAACUUUUGCCUUCUUAGGAAGCAAGUAGAGGAUGUAGUUUAACCAAAAUAAGGGGAUAAACACUAGAAUAAGAAGACACUGAAUCCAGAAACCAGGGAUUAGAACACAGAAGACCUGCAGUUAUACCAUCAGGCUGGAACACAGCUGACAGAGGUCAUUUGGGACACAAGAGCUCAGAGCUGGAGAACUGAAGGUAACAAAAAUGGAACUAAUGUACCUUCUGUUUUUGAAUCUUCUGUGCAUUCAGUAACCUACAGAGUCUGUGAGUAGUCCUAC